GGCAAUGUGGUGCAAUGGUCAGAGUGUCGGACUGGGAUCUGGGAGACCCGGGUUCAAAUCCCCUCUCUGCCA
rnacentral:tRNA from 1 species